rnacentral:rRNA from 1 species
AUGAUGGAGAAGUUGAACACAUACUGCAGUAAGGAGGACAUAUUGGCACGACGGACGAGGUUAUUAAAUAUGAGAUCCAAUUGUGCCAGUGCAUGGCAAAGUAAGGAAAUGUCGUCUGACGACGGAAAAAAUUUCGGUAUGUGCCAAUACUGUGAAGACCAGCGCGGCCAGUGCGACAGAAAUUUCCUUGUUGAUGGUAGGCGAUUCAGCAUCAAGCUGGAUGAAAUUUUCGAAUUCGAUACACGCAUCCCCUGCCAUGCAAGAAUUUUUGUCUUGGAUAAGAUAGGUUUCAAAGAUAUGGAAACUAUGGAGGUAAAGAGAGCUUACCUGAAAACUGAGCAUGAUGGUUAUACUUUCAACGUCAAAGUAUACAAUGCACACACGUACACCUAUUUUGAAUGCAAAACUUGGCAAGCACUCUGCAAGGCUUAUGCAUUUGAGCCUGGUAUGGUUAUCACCUUUGAUAUUCGUCCGGAAGAUGAUAUUGAAGGUAAUACAGACAUAUGGGUCGAUGUGCAGACGCCUCCAGUUCUACCAUUAUACAGGACCUUCUACUGUCCCGGAGCUGAACUAAACUGCGAGGAGAUAAGUCAUUAUGUUUCAUGGCUUGAGGAUCUUCAUACUGUCAAGACAAAAAAAUUUCCUACACUUAGAAAUGUUAGUACUCAAAACGUGCGACCAAUAGUGAUGGUAUUGAACUACGGUCACAUCUAUUUAGGAAUGAUGGGACUCCCGAUGACAGUUGUGCCUCAGGGGAUCGAGACUAAAGGUCAGAUGUCAAUUGUUAGCUUACGGCCAAGAUAUCCUGCAUUGCACAUGAAUGCAUUCAGGAUUUCUAGAAGCGAUGAAUGCUUAAUAGUGAAAGAUUGGAGGAAAAUUGUUAAUGAUCGCAGAGAAGUACUAGGGGGCAGCAAUGAGAAGCGCAGCCCACGAUUAGGAGACAGGUUCAUCGGCAUGCUCUAG